GGAAGUGUAGUCAGCACCUGGUGCAGUGGCAAGAAGAGAAAGGAAGUUCCCCAAGACAGAAACAUCUCAGCAGUGAGUUCCUGAUGAGGGAAGGGAAGUGAAUCCUAAGAACAAUCAUGUGAGUUUGGAAGGAGACCCUUCCCCAGCUGAGCCUCAGCCUGAGCCAUCACCUACAUCUAGACCGAAGACCCAGAGAAACCGUGAGUAAUAUGUGUGUGGUUCUGAGCCACUAAGGUACGUACUAAUUUGUUAUGCACCAAGUAGUAAGUAAUAUACUUGACAGUAAUUGUAAGGUGGUAUUCUGGAUUAGGUCCUGGAAUAGAUAAGUAUAUGAUUAUUAAAAAACCUGGUAAAAUAUGAAGGAAGUUUGUAGAUCAGUUAAUAAUCUCGAAAAACAGUUAAAUUCUUAGUUUUCAUGAAUAUGCUAUGGUUAUAAUAUAUAUUAACAUUCUAGUUAGCUGAAUGGUAUAUGAAACUGUCUGUACUUACCUAUGUGCAUUUAUGUAAAUCUGCAGUUAUUUCAAAAUAAAUAUGUUUUUUAAUAUUAUUAUUAUUUUUUUAAGAAAAGUAAGCAAGUAAAGACAUCAGCAAAAAACUUUUGCCUCCAGAUACAAGUGGGCAUGUAGGGAGAGAAUAGUAAACUGGCUUUUCUUUUCUAGGCAACAUUCGAAACCCAGGUGCCACUCCUUCAGGAAGGUACCAUCAAGCUCCAAGGACUCUUAUCCUCUUUCUCCUUCCCCACUACCUAGUCAUUAGAGCGUCAGCAUCCACUUCUUGAAAGGAAGAUGCCUGUUUUUCACAUAUCCCAGAAAACCCCAUUUUAGGACAGCAUUUAGCAGAGUAUAUUCAGGAUCCCACUAACCUUUUUGGAAGACAUGACUUCCAGAUGAUAUAAGGCAAGAAUAAGAAAUUUCAGUGACAGGGAACAGAAAUCAUAUUUCUGCAUUCAGGAUCAUGUUUUCUUGGUACGGGGAUUUCUUCUUCAAGUAACCCAAGGUCAACUUUACCUUCAAACCUUUCAGAAAACCUGUUCUAAUUUACUUUGCUUCUUUCUACAGGCUCCAUCAGGAACUGUGCAGGACUGUGCACUCUGUUGAUACUCACAUGGUGGAAUUAUAUUGCCUUUGGCCAACCCUAAAGCCAUCAAGAUAGCAGGUCUGGUCUACCGAGAAGAGAGAUCAAAGAGCUCUUCAGCUGUUCCCAGCUCCCCACACAAAUCUACCUAACAAAGUCCCGAUAAACAGUCUGUUUUCUGGAGUCUAUCAAUACUGAUGAGGUCUUGUUCUUUUGGCCAGGCUGGAGUGCAGUGGUACAGUCGUGACUCACUGCAGCUUCAAACACCUGGGUUCCAGCAUUCAUCCCACUUCAGCCUCCCGUGUAGCCGGGACUACAGAUUUGUCUUUCCUUUUGGCUGAGACCGUGGUAACCAAUAAACUCUUUACUUUCUCUAUCCUUGUGCCUUUUCUAGAGUGUCAUAUAUUAUGUUAAAAAAAAGUAUUUUGCUUUUUCCAAAUUGCUUUUUGGACUUACUCAUAUGCCUUUAGGAUUAGUAAAGGAUAUCUUAUGGUUGGGAUUUGCAUUUCCCUAAUGACAGAGGCAUUGAGCAUUUUUCCAUAUGCUUAUUAAACAUUACUAUAGCUUCUUUGGAGACAUG
rnacentral:lncRNA from 1 species